ACAGACGAUUAAGAAAGAGAGGAAAAAGAAGAAGAAAGGGAGGAAAAAGAGAGAAUUGUCCUGCUUCAUUUCGUGGUUUGGUUUCUCGCGUAAUUUUAAUUAUUUGAUGCUACUUCGUAAUUUACUUUUUUGUUUC
rnacentral:ribozyme from 14 species